rnacentral:lncRNA from 13 species
AUGAGCAAGUCAAUGUGUGGCUGUGGCUGCAGCUUCAUCUCCUCUCUGAUGAAGAGGCUGGGCCGCACAGCCUGUUGCUCAGACCUCCUCUCCUGCAGCCAUACCUCCGAGCAGCUGCAGCGCCUGGCCACCGGCUGCCCACCGCCCCCCAAGAAUGCCAAGCCCUUCUCCUCCUCAGACAGCCUAGUGAAGGUCCAGGAGGUAGCAAGCUGGCUUUUGGAAAUGAACCAGGAUCUGCUGUCGGGGGGCAGCAGGCGGGGCCUGGGGGGCCGGCGAGGGGGCCCGGGGGCCCAGCGAGGUAACGCCUCCUCCUCGGCCCGGACGCCCCAGGGCCAGCAGCCUGGAGAGGAGGCCGACGAGGAGGAGCACAUGAACCGGGUGGUGGAGGACCAAGAACACCAGCAGUCCAGAGUCCAGCCUGCGGCCUCGGCAGGGGGGGAAGGAGUGGAAGAACCGUGGACCUCCAGGGAGAAUGGACCCCAGGGAGACGGGGAGGAGGAGGAUGGAGGAGGAGUACCCAACGAGGUGAACGGAGGAGUGACUAAGGGCGGCCGGUGGAUGUGGGAGGCGGAGCGACGGCAACAGGGGGGGGAUGACGACGAGGAGGAGGAAGAGGAGAACAACAACAGUGGCAGCCAGCAGGGAGAGGAGGAGGAGGAAAGGACAGAGGGAGGAGAGCGAACGGGGAGGGAUGAGGAGGACGAGGAGGAGAUGGACCAGGACAGUGAUGACUUUGAGCAUUCGGAGGAGAGUGGGAGGGAGGAGGAAGAGGAGGAGGAGGGCGAGGAUGGCCUCCACUCACCCUCCCUCAGGAGUGAUGUGUCUGUCCCCAACAACAACCUGGACCAGUCCUCGGGAUGCCAACACCAAAGCUCACCCAUCAAGAAGAAGGUCAGCUCUAGCCAGGCCUGA